rnacentral:rRNA from 1 species
AGCGCAGGCGGGAAGACAAGUUGGAAGUGAAAACCAUGGGCUCAACCCAUGAAUUGCUUUCAAAACUGUUUUUCUUUGAGUAGUGCAGAGGUAGAUGGAAUUCCCGGUGUAGCGGUGGAAUGCGUAGAUAUCGGGAGGAACACCAGUGGCGAAGGCGGUCUACUGGGCAUCAACUGACGCUGAGGCUCGAAAGCAUGGGUAGCAAACA